rnacentral:rRNA from 1 species
UGGGGAAUAUUGCACAAUGGGGGAAACCCUGAUGCAGCGACGCCGCGUGAAGGAAGAAGGUAUUCGUAUUGUAAACUUCUGUCGCAGAUGACGAAUUGAUGACGGUAAUCUGCAAGAAAGCACCGGCUAACUACGUGCCAGCAGCCGCGGUAAAACGUAGGGUGCUAGCGUUGUCCGGAAUUACUGGGUGUAAAGGGAGCGCAGGUGGCAGUGCAAGUUGGAUGUAAAAUCUACGGGCUCAACCCGUAUAAGCAUUCAAAACUGUGCAGCUUGAGUGAAGUAGAGGUAGGUGGAAUUUCCGGUGUAGCGGUGGAAUGCGUAGAUAUCGGAAGGAACAUCAGUGGCGAAGGCGACCUACUGGGCUUUAACUGACGCUGAGGCUCGAAAGCAUGGGUAGCAA